rnacentral:rRNA from 1 species
AGUAAUGCUUAGGAAUCUGCCUAUUAGUGGGGGACAACAUCUCGAAAGGGAUGCUAAUACCGCAUACGUCCUACGGGAGAAAGCAGGGGAUCUUCGGACCUUGCGCUAAUAGAUGAGCCUAAGUCGGAUUAGCUAGUUGGUGGGGUAAAGGCCUACCAAGGCGACGAUCUGUAGCGGGUCUGAGAGGAUGAUCCGCCACACUGGGACUGAGACACGGCCCAGACUCCUACGGGAGGCAGCAGUGGGGAAUAUUGGACAAUGGGGGGAACCCUGAUCCAGCCAUGCCGCGUGUGUGAAGAAGGCCUUAUGGUUGUAAAGCACUUUAAGCGAGGAGGAGGCUACUUUAGUUAAUACCUAGAGAUAGUGGACGUUACUCGCAGAAUAAGCACCGGCUAACUCUGUGCCAGCAGCCGCGGUAAUACAGAGGGUGCGAGCGUUAAUCGGAUUUACUGGGCGUAAAGCGUGCGUAGGCGGCUUAUUAAGUCGGAUGUGAAAUCCCCGAGCUUAACUUGGGAAUUGCAUUCGAUACUGGUGAGCUAGAGUAUGGGAGAGGAUGGUAGAAUUCCAGGUGUAGCGGUGAAAUGCGUAGAGAUCUGGAGGAAUACCGAUGGCGAAGGCAGCCAUCUGGCCUAAUACUGACGCUGAGGUACGAAAGCAUGGGGAGCAAACAGGAUUAGAUACCCUGGUAGUCCAUGCCGUAAACGAUGUCUACUAGCCGUUGGGGCCUUUGAGGCUUUAGUGGCGCAGCUAACGCGAUAAGUAGACCGCCUGGGGAGUACGGUCGCAAGACUAAAACUCAAAUGAAUUGACGGGGGCCCGCACAAGCGGUGGAGCAUGUGGUUUAAUUCGAUGCAACGCGAAGAACCUUACCUGGCCUUGACAUACUAGAAACUUUC